rnacentral:rRNA from 1 species
UACGGAGGGUGCAAGCGUUGUUCGGAUUUAUUGGGCGCAAAGCGCGUGUAGGCGGUUUCUUAAGUCUGAUGUGAGAGCCCUGGGCUCAACCCAGGAAGUGCAUUGGAUACUGGGAGACUUGAAUACGGGAGAGGGUAGUGGAAUUCCUAGUGUAGGAGUGAAAUCCGUAGAUAUUAGGAGGAACACCGGUGGCGAAGGCGGCUACCUGGACCGAUAUUGACGCUGAGACGCGAAAGCGUGGGGAGCAAACAGG